AUUGAACGCUGGCGGCGUGCUUAACACAUGCAAGUCGAUCGGUAACGCGGGGGCAACCCUGGCGACGAGAGGCGGACGGGUGAGGAACGCUUGGGAAUCUGCCCUUCAGCGGGGGACAACCCGGGGAAACCCGGGCUAAUACCGCAUACGCUCCACGGAGGAAAGCCGGGGACCGCAAGGCCUGGCACUGAAGGAUGAGCCCAAGUCGGAUUAGCUAGUUGGCGGGGUAACGGCCCACCAAGGCGACGAUCCGUAGCUGGUCUGAGAGGACGAUCAGCCACACUGGGACUGAGACACGGCCCAGACUCCUACGGGAGGCAGCAGUGGGGAAUAUUGGACAAUGGGGGAAACCCUGAUCCAGCGACGCCGCGUGGGUGAAGAAGGCCUGCGGGUUGUAAAGCCCUUUCGGUAGGGACGAAAGCUCUCGACCUAACACGUCGGGAGGAUGACUUAACCUACAAAAGAAGCACCGGCUAACUCUGUGCCAGCCGCCGCGGUAAAAC
rnacentral:rRNA from 1 species